rnacentral:rRNA from 1 species
UACGUAGGGGGCAAGCGUUGUCCGGAAUCAUUGGGCGUAAAGCGCGUGUAGGCGGUUUCGUAAGUCUGCUGUGAAAGUCGGAGGCUCAACCUUCGAAAGCCGGUGGAUACUGUGAGACUUGAGUACGGAAGAGGAGAGUGGAAUUCCUGGUGUAGCGGUGAAAUGCGCAGAUAUCAGGAGGAACACCAACGGCGAAGGCAGCUCUCUGGG